CAUUUUAGGGUACAAAGUGAUCCUGUCUGUGGUCGUAUUAUGAUUUCUAAAUCCCUUUCCAAAGACAAAGAUGAAGCUGAGCCCGCGGAAUUGCUCAUGGAUAAAGCCAUCCCAGUUCCAGGCAGAGUAUAUGGCAACAGAAAAGGAGAGGCCAAAAUGCCCUCGACAUGGAGACUGGUC